GCAGUGGUGGUUCAGAGGUAGAAGUUUGGCUUUCCAUGCAGGAGACCUGGGUUCGACUCCCAGCUAGUGCA
rnacentral:tRNA from 1 species